AUUGAACGCUGGCGGCAGGCCUAACACAUGCAAGUCGAGCGGAUGAAGGGAGCUUGCUCCUGGAUUCAGCGGCGGACGGGUGAGUAAUGCCUAGGAAUCUGCCUGGUAGUGGGGGAUAACGUCCGGAAACGGGCGCUAAUACCGCAUACGUCCUGAGGGAGAAAGUGGGGGAUCUUCGGACCUCAUGCUAUCAGAUGAGCCUAGGUCGGAUUAGCUAGUUGGUGGGGUAAAGGCCUACCACGGCGACGAUCCGUAACUGGUCUGAGAGGAUGAUCAGUCACACUGGAACUGAGACACGGUCCAGACUCCUACGGGAGGCAGCAGUGGGGAAUAUUGGACAAUGGGCGAAAGCCUGAUCCAGCCAGGCCGCGUGUGUGAAGAAGGUCUUCGGAUUGUAAAGCACUUUAAGUUGGAAGGAAAAGCAGUAAGUUAAUACCUUGCUGUUGUGACGUUACCAACAGAAUAAGCACCGGCUAACUUCGUG
rnacentral:rRNA from 1 species